GCUGCCUCUUGGAUCCAACUGGUUUCAGUUGGUUUGGGCAGAGAGGAACCUUUGACUACAGGCCUCCUGUUUCUUAAAAGAACCCUUCCCAGGCUAAGCAGUAAUCAGCCUUCAGCAAUUACCAUAUGGUAUUAUUCAGUGGCUUCCAAUUUGAUCAUACAGCAGAGGAGACAGCAAGUUCAAAGGCCCUGAAGUGGGAACAGGCUUAACAUGUUUAAAGAACAGAAAGGAGACCAGUAUGGCAGAAGUCAAAUAAGCAAGUGGGAAAGUAACAGGACAUGAAGUCAGAGGUUAGCCAGAGCCCUGACUUGGUCUGAUAUGUGCAUGAG